UUGGAGGACACCUCAACACAAACCAUAACAGAAUGUGAUCUCUAUGAGAGAAGAAAUCUGGAGUGUGUUUCAUUUAGGCUCUAUCUCCAGCACAUAGAAGAGAGACCAGCAUAUAGGAAGACUCAGUAAAAUGUGGAAAAGUGAGUGGACAGAUGAACAAGUCUUUUGGUCACAGCAGCAACAAUGUUGACUAAAAUACAUAUGCAAGUUUUCUAAUAUCUGAAAAAAAAUUCCAAAUCUGAAAUACUGUCCCAAGAGUUUCAAAUAAGGGGUACAAUAAUCUAAGUCCACCAAAUCUGCUGUGAUAGACUAAGAAAGAGAUGAAAGAUGACUCUCAUGUUUGGACAUGGUUCACACUGGUCCUUGCUGAGUUGCUGAGGCUAGCCUUGGACUUGAGAUCCUCCUGCCUCCCAAGUCACUGGCAUUACAGUUGUGUGUUACCAUGACCUGCAAUAAUUUCUUCUUUGAACUCGUGUUUUGUAAUGAUAGCCUAUGGAGCAAUUAAUCCAUGUGCAUGAGCAGAGGAAGUUUGCAGAAUAUGAUAUCUACUGUUUCCUUGCCAUCCCAUUUGCAUAUAGCAUUUGUGGUGCUCCAUGAGCAUGGAAUUUCAAUAGGCCCAUGAGCCACAGAAGUUUAAGAAGAUGCAAGUGAAUACAAAAUAAGUGUACAUGUAAAUCAAGCUUCCAAAGAGUUUUGGUAGUAUAUGAACAUAUCAAAAAAUGAAGCAAAAUUUAUUUAUUAUUAUACUAUUGAUAGAUACUGAAGUGUCUUCAAUUUGGGACUAUUAUGAAUUGUGCUACUAUGAAUAUUCUUGUAUAUAACCUUUAAUGUACACAUAUAUCCAUUUCUGUGGAGUGUUUAUCUACAUAUAGAAUUGCCAUGUUAUAGGGAAUGUAUAUAUUCAGUUCUAGAUGAUAAUAGUCAGUCUUUCAAAGCAAAUGAUGUAAAUUCUCGUUCUCUGCCAUGGAUGAUAAAUAUUCUACCUGCUUC